GAAAAAAAAAAAAUUAGCAACAAGUGACGAAAAGUAAAACUUCCGUCGCCUUUCGUUGAGAAAAAUAUUGUAUAUAACCCGAUGAUAAGUGCUUUUAUAGGCGCACGAUGAGUAUUUUCACACUCGGCCUACGGCUUCGAAUGACAAUCUACACAUCUAAUCCAUAAAAAGUCAUUUAUCACUCAGUGGCAUAAAU